UACGUAGGGGGCGAGCGUUAUCCGGAGUUACUGGGCGUAAAGGGCGCGUAGGCGGUCAGCACAAGUCAGUUGUGAAAUCUCCGGGCUUAACUCGGAAAGGUCAACUGAUACUGUGCGACUAGAGUGCGGAAGGGGCAACUGGAAUUCUCGGUGUAGCGGUGAAAUGCGUAGAUAUCGAGAGGAACACCUGCGGCGAAGGCGGGUUGCUGGGCCGACACUGACGCUGAUGCGCGAAAGCCAGGGGAGCGAACGGG
rnacentral:rRNA from 1 species